CCUACGGGCGGCAGCAGUGGGGAAUAUUGCACAAUGGGCGCAAGCCUGAUGCAGCCAUGCCGCGUGUGUGAAGAAGGCCUUCGGGUUGUAAAGCACUUUCAGCGAGGAGGAAGGGUUCAGUGUUAAUAGCACUGUUCAUUGACGUUACUCGCAGAAGAAGCACCGGCUAACUCCGUGCCAGCAGCCGCGGUAAUACGGAGGGUGCAAGAGUUAUUCGGAAUUAGUGGGCGUAAAGCGCACGCAGGCGGUUUGGUAAGUCAGAUGUGAAAUCCCCGAGCUUAACUUGGUGAGUGCAUUUGAAACUAGCAAGCUAGAGUCUUGUAGAGGGGGGUAGAAUUCCAGGUGUAGCGGUUAAAUGCGUAGAGAGCUUGAGGAAUACCGGUGGCGAAGGCGGCCCCCUGGACAAAGACUGACGCUCAGGUGCGAAAGCGUGGGGAGCAAACAGGAUUAGAUACCCGUGUAGUC
rnacentral:rRNA from 1 species